UUAAAUGUUAAAAACAAUUAUCUACCCAAUCUUGUCUGAUCUCGGAAGUUAAGCAGGGUGGAGCCUGGUUAGUACUUGGAUGGGAGACUGUAGAAACAAUUGGUCUCAUGGAGA
rnacentral:rRNA from 1 species